GCAAAAAAACAAAAAAAAAGGGACGAUAAUAUUUGAAGAGAAUCAUCUGUAAUCGGUUUCGCUGGAAGGUGACAGCCACCCUCUUCCUGUCCGAAUAACUAUCUUCCGAAAGAAAACACACUCGCCCCCUUCCUCAGUCCCACUCCUCCCAUGAUAUCCUCCUUACUCCCCCAGCUGCUUUGGUGCCAGUUUGGACAACCCUGGUCUGAAUCAAGCCCCCCCAGCGAGCAUUACAGGACUCAAUAGGUUGGCUGCAUGAUGUCUCUCACUUCCUCAGACGAAGAAAGAACUAAGGGAGCUAUUAGCCUAAGGGGCCGGGCCCUGUGCCAGACGAGCCCUAGACAAACCACACCUCUCUCUGGUGUUACAGUAACGGGAUGCUAGGGCUAUGGGACAGCCGCAGGCAGACCUGACCCUUGGAUGUCUUCCAUCCUGGAGCCGUAUAAACAGGAGCGUGGUGCCCCCGGGACUGGAGUGGUAAUGCCAAAGGUCUUACCACAUAAAUCAACAGGAAGGGUUCGGGAUAACUCGAUCAGGGAGGGUACUCCCUCAGGGAUGUCAUCUACGUUUGUCUGUGAAUUAGCCAAUCAUCAGUUCCUUCAGGUCGACUCCCAUCCUGCCCGGGUGCCCCAUUGAAAGCAUCCUCUCAGGUUUCAUUACUGCCUGGCACGGCAACUGCUCCACUGCAGACUGCAAGACCCUUCAGAUGGUGGUAAAGUCUGUGGAGUACACCAUCGGCUGCCAUCUCCCCUCUGUGCAAGCAUCAACCAGACUACAGACUACAGCCACCCAGGCUGAAUACACCCCUCACAUUUUUGCAAAUAUUUGAUUAUAU